UACGUAGGAGGCAAGCGUUGUCCGGAGUUACUGGGCGUAAAGCGCACGCAGGCGGUCUUGUCAGUCUGUAGGGACAGGGCACAGCUCAACUGUGUCAGGCUUACGGAAACUGCAAGACUUGAGGGCUUCAGAGGGAUGGGGAAUUCCGGGUGUAGUGGUGGAAUGCGUAGAGAUCCGGAGGAACACCAGCGGCGAAGGCGGCAUCCUGGACUGGUCCUGACACUCAUGAGCGAAAGCGUGGGGAGCGAUCCGG
rnacentral:rRNA from 1 species